GAUGAACGCUAGCGGCAGGCUUAAUACAUGCAAGUCGAGGGGCGUCAAGGUACACGAAAGUGUAUUGUUGGCGACCGGCGGACGGGUGAGUAAUAGGUAGGUAACCUACCUCAUACUGAGGCAUAGCUGGGAGAAAUUCCAGGUAAUUCCUCAUGAGGUUAUAUGACACAUGUGAUAUAAUCAAAGGUAUCGCAAGGUACUGGUAUGAGAUGAGCUUACUGACCAUUAGCUAGUUGGUGAGAUAAGAGCUCACCAAGGCGAAGAUGGUUAGGGGUUUUGAGAGAGAGAUCCCCCACAUUGGAACUGAGAUACGGUCCAGACUCCUACGGGAGGCAGCAGUAGGGAAUAUUGGGCAAUGGGCGGAAGCCUGACCCAGCCAUGCCGCGUGAAGGAAGACGGCCUUAUGGGUUGUAAACUUCUUUACUAUGCGACUAACUAGAUUUACGAGAUAAUUCUAUAGAAUGUAGCAUAGCAAAAAGCACCGG
rnacentral:rRNA from 1 species